CAGCCGCCACGGUAAUACCGGCGGCCCGAGUGGCGGUCACUAUUAUUGGGCUUAAAGCGUCCGUAGCCGGGGUGGGAAGUCCUCCGGGAAAUCUGGCCGCUUAACGGUCAGAAUGCCGGAGGAUACUCCCAGCCUAGGGAGCGGGAGAGGCCGAGGGGAUUCCCGGAGUAGGGGGGAAAUCCUAUAAUCCCGGGAGGACCACCUGUGGCGAAGGCGCUCGGCGGGAACGCGUCCGACGGUGAGGGACGAAGGCCAGGGGAGCAAACCGGAUUAGAUACCCGGGUAGUCCUGGCUGUAAACGAUGCGGACUUUGUGUCGGACAAGCUAUGAGCUUGUCCGGUGCCGGAGGGAAACCGUUAAGUCCGCCGCCUGGGGAGUACGGCCGCAAGGCUGAAACUUAAAGGAAUUGGCGGG
rnacentral:rRNA from 1 species